rnacentral:rRNA from 1 species
CAAUAGCGUAUAUUAAAGUUGUUGCAGUUAAAAAGCUCGUAGUUGGAUUUCUGGUCGGAAGCUCCUGUCCUCUGAUGAGCGUACAAGUGCGUCCUACCAUCCUUCUGUUAACCUUUAAGGCUUUCGCGGCUUUCUAGGGGCUCAGAUAUUUUACCUUGAGAAAAUUAGAGUGUUUCAGGCAGGCUAGCGCCGGAAUACAUUAGCAUGGAAUAAUGGAAUAGGACUUUUGCCUCUUCUGUUGGUCAUGAGACUCGAGUAAUGAUUAAUAGGGAUAGUUGGGGGCAUUAGUACUUAACUGUCAGAGGUGAAAUUCUCGGAUUUGUUAAAGACUAACUUAUGCGAAAGCAUUUGCCAAGGAUGUUUUCAUUAA